rnacentral:rRNA from 1 species
AUUGAACGCUGGCGGCAUGCUUUACACAUGCAAGUCGAACGGCAGCGCGGGGCAACCUGACGGCGAGUGGCGAACGGGUGAGUAAUAUAUCGGAACGUACCCAAGAGUGGGGGAUAACGUAGCGAAAGUUACGCUAAUACCGCAUACGAUCUAAGGAUGAAAGUGGGGGAUUCGCAAGAACCUCAUGCUCCUGGAGCGGCCGAUAUCUGAUUAGCUAGUUGGUGAGGUAAAGGCUCACCAAGGCGACGAUCAGUAGCUGGUCUGAGAGGACGACCAGCCACACUGGAACUGAGACACGGUCCAG